GCUUAGCUCAGAUGAUUAGAGCGUGGUGCUGAUAUUGCCUAGGUUGCAGGUUCGAUCCCCGCAUGGGACA